GAUAUACUGUCAGCGGCCAAGCGAAAGUAUUAAGUGAUGCACCUGGGGAGUACGCCGGCGACGGUGAAACUCAAAGGAAUUGACGGGGGCCCGCACAAGCGGUGGAGCAUGUGGUUUAAUUCUAUGAUACGCGAGGAACCUUACCAGGGCUUAAAUGUAGUAUGACCGGCUUAAAAAUAGGCCUUCUCUUCGGAGCAGAUUACAAGGUGCUGCAUGGUUGUCGUCAGCUCGUGCCGUGAGGUGUUAGGUUAAGUCCUGCAACGAGCGCAACCCCUAUUCUUAGUUGCCAGCGGUUCGGCCGGGGACUCUAAGAAGACUGCCAGCGCAAGCUGAAAGGAAGGUGGGGAUGACGUCAAAUCAUCACGGCCCUUACGUCCUGGGCUACACACGUGCUACAAUGGUAGAGACAGAGGGCAGCCACCUGGUGACAGGGAGCGAAUCCUUAAACUCUAUCUCAGUUCGGAUCGAAGUCUGCAACUCGACUUCGUGAAGCUGGAAUCGCUAGUAAUCGCGCAUCAGCCAUGGCGCGGUGAAUACGUUCCCGGGCCUUGUACACACCGCCCGUCAAGCCAUGGAAGCUGGGGGCACCUGAAGUCGGUAACCGUAAGGAGCCGCCUAGGGUGAAACUGGUAACUAGGGCU
rnacentral:rRNA from 1 species